rnacentral:pre_miRNA from 1 species
GGUGUCUUAGAGGGGCUCUCAACACUCCAUGUCUGAAGGGAGAUGAAGGGUAAAACCCAGCUGCUAGUUCAUGGAUACCUUUAGACAUGGGAACAGACCUGUGUCGGAUGUCUAAGGGUUUGCAUGGACUUGGAGAUGAGGUUACCUUGAUCCCUUUUGUAUUGGAGUGAAGGGAGCUCCUCAAGUAUGCUCU